UGCCCCAGUAACGGCGAGUGAAGCGGCAACAGCUCAAAUUUGAAAUCUGGCCCCCCGACCGCGGGGGCCCGAGUUGUAAUUUGCAGAGGAUGCUUUCGGCGCGGCGCCCUCCGAGUUCCCUGGAACGGGACGCCACAGAGGGUGAGAGCCCCGUACGGUCGGACGCCCAGCCACUGUAAAGCUCCCUCGACGAGUCGAGUAGUUUGGGAAUGCUGCUCUAAACGGGAGGUAUAUGUCUUCUAAAGCUAAAUACUGGCCAGAGACCGAUAGCGCACAAGUAGAGUGAUCGAAAGAUGAAAAGCACUUUGGAAAGAGAGUUAAACAGCACGUGAAAUUGUUGAAAGGGAAGCGCUCGAGACCAGACUUGGGCCCGGGGGAUCACCCGGCGUUCUCGCCGGUGCACUCCGCCGGGCCCAGGCCAGCAUCAGUUCGCCGCGGGGGACAAAGGCGCCGGGAACGUGGCUCCCCACGGGGNNNUGUUAUAGCCCGGCGCGCAAUGCCCCGCGCGCGGACUGAGGCACGCGCUCCGCAAGGAUGCUGGCGUAAUGGUCCCCAGCGACCCGUCUUGAAACACGGACCAAGGAGUCGUCCUCGUAUGCGAGUGUUCGGGCGUCAAACCCCUACGCGUAAUGAAAGUGAGCGCAGGUGAGAGCUUCGGCGCACCACCGACCGAUCCCGAUGGCCCGCCCGGACGGAUUUGAGUAGGAGCAUACGGGGCCGGACCCGAAAGAAGGUGAACUAUGCCUGUAUAGGGUGAAGCCAGAGGAAACUCUGGUGGAGGCUCGCAGCGGUUCUGACGUGCAAAUCGAUCGUCAAAUAUGGGCAUGGGGGCGAAAGACUAAUCGAACCUUCUAGUAGCUGGUUUCCGCCGAAGUUUCCCUCAGGAUAGCAGUGUCGAGACCUCCAGUUUUAUGAGGUAAAGCGAAUGAUUAGGGACCCGGGGGCGCUACCUAGCCUCCAUCCAUUCUCAAACUUUAAAUAUGUAAGAAGCCCUUGUUACUUCGUUGAACGUGGGCAUUCGAAUGCAUCGACACUAGUGGGCCAUUUUUGGUAAGCAGAACUGGCGAUGCGGGAUGAACCGAACGCGAGGUUAAGGUGCCAGAGUAGACGCUCAUCAGACACCACAAAAGGCGUUAGUACAUCUUGACAGCAGGACGGUGGCCAUGGAAGUCGGAACCCGCUAAGGACUGUGUAACAACUCACCUGCCGAAUGUACUAGCCCUGAAAAUGGAUGGCGCUCAAGCGUCUCACCCAUACCUCGCCCUCGGGGUGGAAGCGAAGCCCCGAGGAGUAGGCGGACGUGGGGGUCAGUGACGAAGCCCAGGCGCGA
rnacentral:rRNA from 1 species